AUUGAACGCUGGCGGCAGGCCUAACACAUGCAAGUCGAGCGGAUGAAGAGAGCUUGCUCUCUGAUUUAGCGGCGGACGGGUGAGUAAUGCCUAGGAAUCUGCCUGGUAGUGGGGGAUAACGUCCGGAAACGGGCGCUAAUACCGCAUACGUCCUACGGGAGAAAGCAGGGGACCUUCGGGCCUUGCGCUAUCAGAUGAGCCUAGGUCGGAUUAGCUAGUUGGUGAGGUAAUGGCUCACCAAGGCUACGAUCCGUAACUGGUCUGAGAGGAUGAUCAGUCACACUGGAACUGAGACACGGUCCAGACUCCUACGGGAGGCAGCAGUGGGGAAUAUUGGACAAUGGGCGAAAGCCUGAUCCAGCCAUGCCGCGUGUGUGAAGAAGGUCUUCGGAUUGUAAAGCACUUUAAGUUGGGAGGAAGGGCAGUAAGUUAAUACCUUGCUGUUUUGACGUUACCGACAGAAUAAGCACCGGUUAACUUCGUGCCAGCCGCCGCAGUAAUAC
rnacentral:rRNA from 1 species